AGAGUUUGAUCAUGGCUCAGAUUGAACGCUGGCGGCAUGCUUUACACAUGCAAGUCGAACGGCAGCGCGGGCAACCUGGCGGCGAGUGGCGAACGGGUGAGUAAUAUAUCGGAACGUACCCAAGAGUGGGGGAUAACGUAGCGAAAGUUACGCUAAUACCGCAUACGAUCUAAGGAUGAAAGUGGGGGAUCUUCGGACCUCAUGCUCCUGGAGCGGCCGAUAUCUGAUUAGCUAGUUGGUGAGGUAAAGGCUCACCAAGGCGACGAUCAGUAGCUGGUCUGAGAGGACGACCAGCCACACUGGAACUGAGACACGGUCCAGACUCCUACGGGAGGCAGCAGUGGGGAAUUUUGGACAAUGGGCGCAAGCCUGAUCCAGCAAUGCCGCGUGAGUGAAGAAGGCCUUCGGGUUGUAAAGCUCUUUUGUCAGGGAAGAAACGGUAGAGGCUAAUAUCCUUUGCUAAUGACGGUACCUGAAGAAUAAGCACCGGCUAACUACGUGCCAGCAGCCGCGGUAAUACGUAGGGUGCAAGCGUUAAUCGGAAUUACUGGGCGUAAAGCGUGCGCAGGCGGUUUUGUAAGUCUGUCGUGAAAGCCCCGGGCUCAACCUGGGAAUUGCGAUGGAGACUGCAAGGCUUGAAUCUGGCAGAGGGGGGUAGAAUUCCACGUGUAGCAGUGAAAUGCGUAGAGAUGUGGAGGAACACCGAUGGCGAAGGCAGCCCCCUGGGUCAAGAUUGACGCUCAUGCACGAAAGCGUGGGGAGCAAACAGGAUUAGAUACCCUGGUAGUCC
rnacentral:rRNA from 1 species